GGCUAGAGUAGUACUGGGAUGGGUGACCUCCCGGGGAGUCCUAGUGUUGCACCGU
rnacentral:rRNA from 1 species